rnacentral:rRNA from 1 species
UUCGCCCUUAGAGUUUGAUCCUGGCUCAGGAUGAACGCUGGCGGCGUGCCUAACACAUGCAAGUCGAGCGAUUUACUUCGGUAAAGAGCGGCGGACGGGUGAGUAACGCGUGGGUAACCUGCCCUGUACACACGGAUAACAUACCGAAAGGUAUGCUAAUACGAGAUAAUAUGCUUUUAUCGCAUGGUAGAAGUAUCAAAGCUCCGGCGGUACAGGAUGGACCCGCGUCUGAUUAGCUAGUUGGUAAGGUAACGGCUUACCAAGGCGACGAUCAGUAGCCGACCUGAGAGGGUGAUCGGCCACAUUGGAACUGAGACACGGUCCAAACUCCUACGGGAGGCAGCAGUGGGGAAUAUUGCACAAUGGGCGAAAGCCUGAUGCAGCAACGCCGCGUGAGCGAUGAAGGCCUUCGGGUCGUAAAGCUCUGUCCUCAAGGAAGAUAAUGACGGUACUUGAGGAGGAAGCCCCGGCUAACUACGUGCCAGCAGCCGCGGUAAUACGUAGGGGGCUAGCGUUAUCCGGAAUUACUGGGCGUAAAGGGUGCGUAGGUGGUUUCUUAAGUCAGAGGUGAAAGGCUACGGCUCAACCGUAGUAAGCCUUUGAAACUGGGAAACUUGAGUGCAGGAGAGGAGAGUGGAAUUCCUAGUGUAGCGGUGAAAUGCGUAGAUAUUAGGAGGAACACCAGUUGCGAAGGCGGCUCUCUGGACUGUAACUGACACUGAGGCACGAAAGCGUGGGGAGCAAACAGGAUUAGAUACCCUGGUAGUCCACGCCGUAAACGAUGAGUACUAGCUGUCGGAGGUUACCCCCUUCGGUGGCGCAGCUAACGCAUUAAGUACUCCGCCUGGGAAGUACGCUCGCAAGAGUGAA